rnacentral:lncRNA from 1 species
AUCCCUAUCCACUCCAAAGAAAAGGAAAAUAACCCCAUCGGCACCUGGUUCUUCAUCCACACGCAUCAUUUCGCCAGAUUUGCUGCCGGCGAAGGUAGAUAUCGCUCGUGGGCGGUGGCCAUCAUUGAGAGUCUACCCCCCUCUAAAAUUUCUCUUCCUGGGGUUGGUGGCGUAGGUGGCCGGGUGAGUGCGUGAACGCGUUUGAUGCGGUCUUCAGGGUGCAGAUGCUCGCCCACCUCGGCGAGUCCGGCGGCGAGGCCAUCAGGAGGUCCGGCGGCUAGCGACGGUGGUGGAUGUGCUGGAGGUUGGUGGCAUUGAGGGGGCAGUAAGGAAGCUCACGGAGAAGGGUGUGGAUUUCCUAGAUGAGUUCGUGCAAUGGAUAAUGGUCGGUUCUGAGGAGCGGGGCAGAGACUUGCACUGCGGCUAUGCUUCAUGAGAGCUAUGGGGUUAUGUAGACAAAUGUGAGAUCGUGCCAUAAGCAAAUGACAUCAAGAUCUGAGCACCGUUGCAGACGGCCUCGAGUUAUUUUCCUCUUCAUCUCCUACAAAAUGUAAGUGCGAGCCGAUCAUAUGCAUCCUUCCUAGUGCAGAUUAUUUUUUUAGUUCCUCCAUAUCACUAUGUAAGUCUGUAGUGUUGUACUCCUUAUUUAUGAAAUUUCUCUUCAUACAGGUUGCUUGCAUGGUCAAUUUGGGCAUCGGUUUGUUAAGCAGCAAAAGCUCGCAUGUUGAAUCUACUCAACUCAAGUAUGUUUCCACCAGAAAACUCAAUCGUGUAGUGUAUGGAAUGACAUGUUUAUUUAGUUUCUACUAAUUAGUUUGGAUAACCUCUGAUCAUCCGAUGAAGUAACUGAGAAGAAAUUUUGGUGAUGUUAUUACUUCCCAUUUUUUUAUACCUAUGCAAUUAAUGUUAUUUGUUGCUGGUUUUGCUGUGGCGCCAAGUCUAAAUGAGGGAACCUUGUUUUUAUUCAAAGCAAGAUCCAUGUGUUGACAUAGGAUGGAUUUUGUACAAAAUGCCUAUAAUAUCGAGCUUUUCUAAUAUUCUCUUAACUGAAAAAGGCUGUUGGAUAGAGAGCUUUUAUGAAGAGCAGAAAACUCAUAUAUCAAGUAAUUACAACAUGACAUGCUUCUGGUAGUGCUAACUUCAGCCGUUCAGCGCCUUGUUAUGUAAUACGUGUCGUUAUAUUGGUAGAUGUCAAGUGCUCUUCUCUAUCUCAGUUAUGGUCUGCCUUAGUUUCAGUCUAAGCUAUAUUAAUCAACUAAUUUUGUGGGUAACCUCCUUGUUCGCCUAGGUUUUUUUGGCUACUGUAUCUUCGAACUGACCACUUCUCUUGUAGCAUUUUUCUUCAACACUUCCGGUCUUGUGGCCAUAAACCUCUUUGGUCAUUUUAUGCGAUCUCCUUAUGGCUGCAGUAUCAGUACAUCUUAUUUUGCCACAACUGGCAACUGAGUCUUCAUCUUUAAGCAUUGCAGUUUUUACUUCCGCUUCAACAUGUUUCUUGUUCCCAGCAUACAUCUUUCCUUUCUUGUACACUUAUCUUGGUGUAUUCAUCCUCUGAGCCAUCCGAUAAUAUGAUAGAUCUCUAUCAUUUUAUUUUGUCAUGGCAGAGUCCAUGUGAUGUUUAUGUUUUUUUUCUUCACACCCAUCAUCAUGUACUAUAACCCCAUUAGUAUCGUGUGGUUCUUCUUACAUAGAAACAAAUUGUCAUAUCCUUUUCUGAGGUGAAUCUCUAUUGUUAUUUGUCUGCAAAAUAAAAAUACAUUUCAAAGAUUACACGUGUCUCUAAAGUUUGAGAAGUAGUACUCUGAGAAAAUUAAUCACCCUUUAGCCUCUAUGUUAUGCUUCUUUGUUGCUUUUUUGAACACGACGUCCACUUCAUCAUGCAAAAUUCUGAGAAUCAUAUGUGAGAUGUAUUAGUUAGGAAAAUACAAACACAAUACUUCUUUUGUAAUGGAUAAAGGCAAAUUUUCCUCCUCGGCUUUAUCUUUCAGGUCCAUCAUCUCAAGCCUAUCAUCACACACAAAUGUUCUUUUUACUGCAUAGUUUUUUGUUCUGAAAGUGAGAUUGCCAUCGCUGAACAUGAGCUGAAAAUAAGUGUUUGUCAACAUUAUUAUUAUGUAAUCUUUGGCGCUUCUUCAUAUUUCUCAUCCAGUGAAUUUAGCAAGUCCGAGACAAAUGUAUUGAACAAUUUUUCGGCCUCACCGUCAAAUAAAGUGCAACUUGUAGUAGUCGUACAGUCAUUAAUUUAUUGUCAAAUACGAUAACUAUCAUACGAUUGUUAUUAGUGUAGAGUAAAUGUAAUAGGAAAGAAGUCUUCUUCGAAUAUAUGCUUACCGAGGUGAUACAUCAUCUCGAUAUGUAUCACAACUCUCGUAACAGUACUUGUCAACUUCCUUCUUAUCUAGUUUGUGAAAAUCAUCACAUCACAUAUACCAGCUUUGAAUAUGAUCACUUGUAGCUAUUACUGUGAACACAAAAUCCUAAAAUGAUUUCCCAAAAAUUUAGCAUACUGGAGAAAGUGAAAGACAUAAUUAAGUAGAUAUGCACUAUAACUGAUAUUUACUAAGUUGUCAUUGCAGGUAUUGAGAGUCUGGUUUUCCUCAAAAAGUGGCGAUUUCAUAUCUUAGAAGAAGUCUCGCAUUAGUUCAAAUUUGAACUAAAACCAUAACACUUAUUUUGGAUCGAGGAGUAUGAAUUUGGUAUUGAUUCUUGUGUUGAGUUCCUGCACAUUUGGAGCAAAUCGAGUAUAAUAAUUAUCUUAGAUUGGUGAAUAAAGAUGAGUCAAGAUAAAUUAGCUGAGAAAUAAUAAAAGUUGGUCUUUCAUACCUGUCAACAAUUUCCCAAGUUUAUGGUAUAUCUAGAUCUGUAUAGAUUCUUAUGACACUUGACUUUAAGCAUAAUCAUGUUUAAUCAAAGUAAAUUCUGUUAGACAUAUUUUUAUAAGGGAGAAGUAUAUUUUUUGUCCCUAAACUCUU